rnacentral:rRNA from 1 species
GAUUUGGAGGGCAAGUCUGGUGCCAGCAGCCGCGGUAAUUCCAGCUCCAAUAGCGUAUAUUAAAGUUGUUGCAGUUAAAAAGCUCGUAGUUGAAUUUCGGGGUUAGUAGGUUGGUCAUGCCUCUGGUAUGUACUGGUCUCACUGAUUCCUCCUUCCUUAUGAACCGUAAUGCCAUUAAUUUGGUGUUGCGGGGAAUUUGGACUGUUACUUUGAAAAAAUUAGAGUGUUUAAAGCAAGCUAACGCUUGAAUACAUUAGCAUGGAAUAAUGAAAUAGGACGUUCGAUCUUAUUUUGUUGGUUUCUAGGAUUGACGUAAUGAUUAAUAGGGAUAGUUGGGGGCAUUAGUAUUCAAUUGUCAGAGGUGAAAUUCUUGGAUUUAUUGAAGACUAACUACUGCGAAAGCAUUUGCCAAGGAUGUUUUCAUUAAUCAAGAACGAAAGUUAGGGGAUCGAAGACGAUCAGAUACCGUCGUAGUCUUAACCAUAAACUAUGCCGACUAGGGAUCGGAUGAUGUUAAUUUUUUAAUGACUCAUUCGGCGCCUUACGGGAAACA